UCAAGCGCCUUGGAACUGUGCAUCGGGGA
rnacentral:piRNA from 1 species